rnacentral:rRNA from 1 species
UACGAAGGGGGCAAGCGUUGUCCGGAAUUAUUGGGCGUAAAGAGCUCGUAGGCGGUCUGUCGCGUCGGCUGUGAAAUCCCGGAGCUCAACUCCGGGCCUGCAGUCGAUACGGGCAGACUGGAGUUCGGCAGGGGAGACUGGAAUUCCUGGUGUAGCGGUGAAAUGCGCAGAUAUCAGGAGGAACACCGGUGGCGAAGGCGGCCCGCUGGGCAGUGGCUGACGCUGAGGCGCGACAGCGUGGGGAGCAAACAGG